GCAUUUGAGAAUUGUUUUUCUUUACUUUAACUUUAAAUUUCGGGCACCGAAACCAAAUGCACCUGACAGCACCCUCCUGAGUUCACGCACUCACUAGGAGAAGAGAAUCAGAAUCCAGCCCCGGAGGAAGGGCCCCAGUUUCUUUCUCCCCACUCGCGAAGUUCGCAUCUUUCGGAAUAAAACCACUGAAACACAAUCAGGGCUACGUGCAUUACCUGUGGCCACUUUCCGUUGGACUGCGCCCGUCUCUUGAUUUCUUCUACUGUUUUCCUGCGAGAAUCCUGGUCUGACCGGGACACGAACACAGGCCGUAUAUACUGGAUCAGAGCUGGAAGAGAGGAGGGGAGACGGAUCACGUGGAAUGCACGGCUCCCGCCAGGCAGGGCUGAGGAACGAGGGGGCUGCUGCAUGGCGCCCAGUGGGGCGGGAGACUCCAGAUGCCCCAGGGGCUGUGCCAUGGGUGGGCUGUGAGUCCCUGACUGAGGGAACGGGAACAGCACCCGGGCUUCCCAUGUCUGUGACAGCAGGAAGCCCUGUAGCCUCAGUGCCACAAGUAACAAACAGCAAGUCCAUGGCACCCACUGAGGACACGGAGCACAGAACGGAGGUCAAUGAAAGACAACCGCCAGGAAGCAGAAAGUCUUUAGACCCAGUCUUCACAGAGGACAGGGUUGAAGGUGCCAGGUCCCUAGAUUGGACCCCGCCUUCCCCCUGUGGGUUGAACUGCAUCCCCUAAAAGACAAGCUGAAGUCCUCACUCCUGGUACCGGGAAUGGGACCUCAUUUCGAAACAGGUGGUAGCAGAUGCUCAAGGUCCCGGAUGAGGGUCCCUAUGGGAAGAGGAGACAAAGCAGAUGCUCAAGCUAAAAUCCCAGAUGAGGGUCCCUAUGGGAAGAGGAGACGAAGAGGGGGAGAGAAGGCCAAUGAUGAAGGAGGCCAUAGGAGGAUGUGGCCACAGCCCCCACCACGAGCCGGGAGGGCCGAGGGAGCUUUCAGAAGAGCCCAAUGCGGCCAGCACUUUGUUCUGGCACUUCUGCUUUUAGACGGCGGGAGAAUAUGCUCCUGUUGUUCUAAGCCACCAGCUUUGUGGUGCUUUGUAGCACAGCCCCAGUUUAACCAUGGCACCCCACAGCCUCCUGGAAGUUGCGGGGUUGGGGUACAAGGGACACCCCGCCAUGAAGGCUGGUGCUCAGCCAAGGCAACGUGGCCACGGCACCUGUCUUUAUGCAAGAGGAUUGAACGUGGAAACAUACUUCUUAGAAGAGAAAACUCUGAAGACUUUAAAAUGAAACUAUCCCUGAGUGGAGCUUCCUUUUUGAGGACGGUGAGCAGGAUCCACACUCGGCGCCCCCCAGGCCAACUGAAGGUGUCUCUGACCCCACCACGGGCUCCUAGGCUGCUGCAGGUCAGCCCCACCUCCCCACCCCAGUUCAGUUUCCAGUUUCUUUUCUUAGCGUUUUUAUUACUUGUAAGGAGUAGCAUUUCAUGACUUUUAUUCUUUCUUGGAGGUUCUCUCCUCCAAGAACGAGAAAAUUGAAGCCAAAAAAAGAAAAUUCCUUCUAUCCUGUGGUUGUCUGUUGGGUCUCUGUGGUCUUUCCUAUGUCUUGAAUCAUUUUGCUUUUUCACGAUUCCAGUACUAUUUCAUCCUUGCUCAUUGGUUAUUCCCAACUCUGCUAAAAAGGACGAUAUCGGAAGGGAAGAAUGGCGGAGUCGUCUCGCAGGAUGGCGCACGCGUCAAAGAAAUGGCCCUGAUUGCGUGGUCUUUCGGUGCCCACUGUUUUGGCCAAAGCGUCCCAUGGUCGUCCCGGGGCACACGGGGUCUGGAGAUGCCACCCUGCCACCUUCGCAAUCCUGUCAGCUGGUUUGUUUUGUGAACAGAGUAGAGAUUUCAGAAGUUGUCUAUAACGGCAAAGAACAGAACAGUGACGUGGGGGCGUUUCACACUCAGAUGGGUCCGGGGGUAAAUGUGGGGGGUGCAGGGGGAGGACUCUGAGUGAAGUCUUGGGCCGUGCGUCUUCAUGUGGGUUGCCCGGUGUGCCUUUCACGCUGAGAACUGGGCAGUGAGGACAGCAAGGAGAUGCAGCUCCUCCCCGGGAGCCCUGAGGAGGGAAGGGUGUCACCACGCCGUGUGCACAGCCACACUGGGACUGGCGCAUUUUGCCAGCAAGAAGGUGACAGCGUUCUGCCGUCUUUUGGGCAUUUGAGGCUCAAACUUUCCUUGACAAGGUUUGUAAAUGGAUGGUGCGGAUAUGAAGGUCACUGAAAGGAAACUAAGAAUGUGAAAAGGAAAAAAUCUACCUGGUUGAUCACUUUCAUUGGUAUUCAUACAUCUAAAAAUGAAAAUAUUUUGAACAUUUUCAACAUUCAUCUCUUCAACAAAGUUGUGAGCUGUCAAAGGGUCCACGAAAGGAACCAGAAGUCACCACAAGCUGGGACCGGGGAGAUGUCUCUGAGCUGGAAACCUGGGAGACGUCUCUGAGCUGGGACCAGGGGAGAUGUCUCUGAGCUGGAAACCAGGGAGAUGUCUCUGAGCUGGGACCAUGGGAGAUGUCUCUGAGCUGGAAACCAGGGAGAUGUCUCUGAGCUGGGACCAGGGGAGAUUAUCUCUGAGCUGGGACCACGGGAGAUGUCUCUGAGCUGGAAACCUGGGAGAUGUCUCUGAGCUGGGAUGGGGGAAGAUUAUCUCUGAGCUGGGACAAGGGGAGAUGUCUCUGAGCUGGAGCCUGGGGAGAUGUCUCUGAGCUGGGGCCUGGGGAGAUGUCUCUGAGCUGGGGCCUGGGGAGACGUCUCUGAGCUGGGGCCUGGGGAGACGUCUCUGAGCUGGGACCUGGGGAGAUGGUUUUGAGCUGGAGCCUGGGGAGAUGGUUCUGAGCUCCCGAAUCAGAGGGUGCUCCAGGUGCGCAGUAGAGGAGUCAUCAGCCACGCCCCAGGACAAUGGCCCUUUCAGGCCAGGACAGCAGGGAGCAAAAUGUGGUUCCUGCUAAGUCUGAAUUCUAACGAAAAUUUCUGAUAAGCUUGUCACUAUCCUCUCCCUCGCAGGUCCGUGGAUUAUCUCUGAAAUGACAAGAAACACGCAGGGCUCCACGAGGGCCCUGCACACAGCAGCAUGGCUGUGGCCAUUCUUCCUGCUGCGCCGAGAUGAAGGUGCUGCAUGGAAACAGAGCCGGCAGGAGUGGCCAGGUGAGGGCCCCGGCCAUAGGCGACGCCCCUCGUCCCAGCAGCUCCUUCCCUCAGCACCGCCCACUGCCAACCCAGGACCCGCUGUGCCCCAGAACGUGCUGUGCUGUGCUGAUGGCGGCUGUGAAGGAAGCACGAGGACAGAACGGGCCCAGAUGCCCUGAAGAGCACCGAGGACAGAGCUCUGGUGGGUCAGGGCUGCGCACAGGUGGGUGAGGGGCCACGCAGGGCUCCCUACAGUCCUCCCAGAGCAGUGGGUCCAUGGGAUGCGGCCCCCAAAGAUGGGUCCACAUGCUGACCCUGGAACCUGUGAAUGAGGCCUUAUUUGGAAAAAGGUUUUUACAGAGGUAACUCGUUAAGGAUCUCAAGAUGAGAGCAUCCUGGAUCACCCAAUGACUGGUCCUUAUAAGAGACUCAUAGAGGAGACACUUGGAGGGAGCCAGGCCAGUCGACCACUGAGGCAGAGUCAGAGGGACGCAGCCCCCAGAGGAGGAAGAGGCAGGAAGGGGCCGCACAGGGCCUUCGGCCCAGAGACGCCUUGAUUUUGAACAUCUGGUCCCCAGAUGACGAGAGGGUGAAUCUCUGCUGGAGUGAGCCCCCGGCUUUGGGGAGGGGUCAUGGCAGCACCAGGUGCUCAGGUCCCUGGUUCACGGCACAGCCGCGGUGCAUGGGCAGCCCUGCCGACCUGCUCCCAAAGACUUCCAGAACUGCCAUCUGAUAAAGGUGAGCCACCCUUGCCAAGCAGACCUGGAGCAAGCACUGUAGCCUGUUAUGAUAGUGAGGGCACUCAGGUAGCAAUAAAAAUAACAAUUACAACAACGAAAAUUACACAGGAAACCCCAACACAGAAAAUGGGGCACAAGGCCAAUGUGCCCGGCGGUGGGGGCUCGAUCACUCCCAGCAGCGUGGUGGGGGGGGGGUCCCUCACUCCCGGUAGGGAGGGUCUCACUCAUUUCCAGCAAGUGGGGGUCCCUCAUUCCUAGCAGGGAGGGAUCUCUCAUUCCCAGAAGGGGGGGUCCCUAAAAACCAGCAGGGAGUCCCUCAUUGCCAGCAACAGAGGGGGUCUCACUCAUUCCCAACAGAGGGGGGACCCUCACUCCCAGCAGGAGGGGAAUCUCUUAUUCUCAGCAGCAGGGGGAUCUCUCACUCCCAGCAGGGCAGGGUCCCUCACUCCCAGCAGGGGUGUCUCACUCACUUCCCCAGAUCGGGAUGUCUCUGCUCUCUGCCUUCAUCACGAUGGAGGACAUCGUCAUGGUCACAGGGAUGGCGUCGAAGUAGGACGAGUGAGGCGCGAGCGUGAGGAUGGCCGCCUCGGUGGGCAGCGCCUGCCGCCCCUUCACGGCCACCCGGUGGAAGCCGCCGGCGAACCACAUGGUGCGCAUGAUGGCCUUCAGCAGGAAGUCCACAACCCUGCAAAAGAGGGCGCUGCGUCACGCGGGCACACGUCCGCAGUCUCGGAGUCUGUGUGAGGCACAGGGGCGGUCCCACGGGAGAGCCCUCCAGGGCGCAGUCCAGGCCACGGGCUUCCUGUGGUCGCCGCCGCUGGGACAUCUGCUUGAGGGAAGAAAAGACGCCGCGCCUUCCUGGCCUCCGCCUGUGUCCUCGCUGGCUGCGCUCUCACCUACGAAGGAGGCCGCGGGGCCCUGUGUGGUGGUCACGGGCCACGCGGCAGGCAGUGCUAAGACAACAUGAGACUCCGGAACACAGACAGCACAAGUCCCAGGCCAGAAGACCUCCGGACCUUCAUGUUAGCAACUUAUUUAUCAGCAUCCUAUCAUUUUGAAAUGGGAAAAACAUUAAAACACCUAAAACGCAUAUCGCAAUAUGGGGGGGGGGGCGCUCAGAGCUGAGGGCGGAAGCUGAGACCUGCGUGCGAACUUCCCCAUCUCAUCUCCACAGGAAGCCCGGGGUUCCCACAACCAGGCGUUGUGUUAUUACAGUGAGCUGUUUCUGGAGGAAAUUAGAUGGCCAAUAAAUUUGGAAAAUAAAGUAAAAAUCAGCCUAGGUUAACUGAA